rnacentral:rRNA from 1 species
AUUGAACGCUGGCGGCAUGCCUUACACAUGCAAGUCGAACGGUAGAGGGGGCAACCCCUUGAGAGUGGCGAACGGGUGAGUAAUGCAUCGGAACGUGCCCAGUCGUGGGGGAUAGCCCGGGGAAACCCGGAUUAAUACCGCAUACGACCUGAGGGUGAAAGCGGGGGACAGCAAGGCCUCGCGCGAUUGGAGCGGCCGAUGUCGGAUUAGCUAGUUGGUGGGGUAAAGGCCUACCAAGGCGACGAUCCGUAGCUGGUCUGAGAGGACGACCAGCCACAUUGGGACUGAGGCACGGCCCAGACUCCUACGGGGGGAAGCAGUGGGGAAUUUUGGACAAUGGGGGCAACCCUGAUCCAGCCAUGCCGCGUGCGGGAAGAAGGCCUUCGGGUUGUAAACCGCUUUUGUCAGGGAAGAAAUCCUUUGGGUUAAUAACCUGGGGGGAUGACGGUACCUGAAGAAUAAGCACCGGCUAACUACGUGCCAGCCGCCGCCGUAA